AGAGUUUGAUCCUGGCUCAGAACGAACGCUGGCGGCGUGCUUAACACAUGCAAGUCGAACGUGAUUGAGAGCUUGCUCUCAUGAAAGUGGCGCACGGGUGAGUAACACGUGGAUAAUCUGCCUGGCGAUUCGGGAUAACACUUCGAAAGGGGUGCUAAUACCGGAUACGUUGAGUAAUCAGGGGUUUGCGGGAAAAGGUGGCCUCUGAAUAUGCUACUGUGCUGAGAUGAGCUUGCGUACCAUUAGCUAGUUGGUAGGGUAAUGGCCUACCAAGGCGACGAUGGUUAGCGGGUCUGAGAGGAUGAUCCGCCACACUGGAACUGAAACACGGACCAGACUCCUACGGGAGGCAGCAGUGAGGAAUAUUGCGCAAUGGGGGCAACCCUGACGCAGCGACGCCGCGUGGAUGAUGAAGGCCUUCGGGUCGUAAAAUCCUGUCAGAUGGAAAGAAUGGUUACGGUACCCAAGGAGGAAGCCCCGGCUAACUACGUGCCAGCAGCCGCGGUAAUACGUAGGGGGCGAGCGUUGUCCGGAAUUACUGGGCGUAAAGGGUGCGUAGGUGGCCUUUUAAGUCAGAUGUGAAAUCCCCGGGCUUAACUCGGGAUUGCACUUGAAACUACAUAACUAGAGUACAGGAGAGGUGAGUGGAAUUCCUAGUGUAGCGGUGAAAUGCGUAGAUAUUAGGAGGAACACCAGUGGCGAAGGCGACUUACUGGACUGUAACUGACGCUGAGGCGCGAAAGCGUGGGGAGCAAACAGGAUUAGAUACCCUGGUAGUCCACGCUGUAAACGAUGAAUACUAGGUGUAGGGUAGCGACGACCCCUUCCGUGCCGCAGUAAACGCAAUAAGUAUCCCGCCUGGGGAGUACGGCCGCAAGGUUGAAACUCAAAGGAAUUGACGGGGGCCCGCACAAGCAGCGGAGCAUGUGGUUUAAUUCGAAGCAACGCGAAGAACCUUACCAGGUCUUGACAUCCCUCUGAAUGGCGCUUAGCACAGCGCAGGUCUUUCGGGACAGAGGAGACAGGUGGUGCAUGGUUGUCGUCAGCUCGUGUCGUGAGAUGUUGGGUUAAGUCCCGCAACGAGCGCAACCCUUGCCUUUAGUUGCCAGCACAUAAUGGUGGGCACUCUAGAGGGACUGCCGGUGACAAACCGGAGGAAGGUGGGGAUGACGUCAAAUCAUCAUGCCCUUUAUGUCCUGGGCUACACACGUGCUACAAUGGUCGGUACAACGAGUUGCUACCUAGUGAUAGGACGCUAAUCUCUAAAAGCCGAUCCCAGUUCGGAUUGUAGGCUGCAACUCGCCUACAUGAAGUCGGAAUCGCUAGUAAUCGCGGAUCAGCAUGCCGCGGUGAAUACGUUCCCGGGCCUUGUACACACCGCCCGUCACACCAUGGGAGUAGGCAAUACCCGAAGCCAGUGAGCUAACCGUAAGGAGGCAGCUGUCGAAGGUAGGGUCAAUGACUGGGGUGAAGUCGUAACAAGGUAACC
rnacentral:rRNA from 1 species